AGCGAACGCUGGCGGCAGGCUUAACACAUGCAAGUCGAGCGGGCGUAGCAAUACGUCAGCGGCAGACGGGUGAGUAACACGUGGGAACGUACCUUUUGGUUCGGAACAACACAGGGAAACUUGUGCUAAUACCGAAUAAGCCCUUACGGGGAAAGAUUUAUCGCCGAAAGAUCGGCCCGCGUCUGAUUAGCUAGUUGGUGAGGUAAUGGCUCACCAAGGCGACGAUCAGUAGCUGGUCUGAGAGGAUGAUCAGCCACACUGGGACUGAGACACGGCCCAGACUCCUACGGGAGGCAGCAGUGGGGAAUAUUGGACAAUGGGCGCAAGCCUGAUCCAGCCAUGCCGCGUGAGUGAUGAAGGCCCUAGGGUUGUAAAGCUCUUUUGUGCGGGAAGAUAAUGACGGUACCGCAAGAAUAAGCCCCGGCUAACUUCGUGCCAGCAGCCGCGGUAAUACGAAGGGGGCUAGCGUUGCUCGGAAUCACUGGGCGUAAAGGGUGCGUAGGCGGGUCUUUAAGUCAGGGGUGAAAUCCUGGAGCUCAACUCCAGGACUGCCUUUGAUACUGAGGAUCUUGAGCUCGGGAGAGGUGAGUGGAACUGCGAGUGUAGAGGUGAAAUUCGUAGAUAUUCGCAAGAACACCAGUGGCGAAGGCGGCUCACUGGCCCGAUACUGACGCUGAGGCACGAAAGCGUGGGGAGCAAACAGG
rnacentral:rRNA from 1 species